GGAACUACUGGAAAAGAGACACUGUAUUCCUCUCGGGAAUGCUAAACUGACUGCUUAUGAACAUGGCGGCUAUUCUUACUAACAAUUGGAGAAAACCAACUGUUUCCUGAGAAUGAAGCUAAGAGCUGGAAAAGGCUGAGGUGACCGGCAGGCAUGACAAGGAGGAAAAAGGGCGCCCUGUACAGACUACACCUGAACACCCACAACAAUCCUGGACAGAACAUAUAAAGAAGGAGUGGGGGCAGCCUUUGACACAAGGAGGGGCAAUUUGUCCCUGAAACAGAAGAGAAGAUCAUUGCUUAAUGCAUUUCAGUAAAUGAUACCAUCAUCCACUUGAUUGCCCAGGUAAGAAAUCUAAGAUUCAUCCUUGAUACAUGUUUCCCUCACCCCCCAAGUCCACCAGGAAGUCCUAUCAGCUCUACUUCCAAAACACAUCCUGAAGACGCGUACUUCUCAUCACCUGCACUGCUCAUCCACCGCCCAAGGACUUCCAGAGUAUCUCUUCAGUGGACGGACUAUGGCAACAGCUGCUAACCAAUUUCCUUUAUUCCAUUCUUGCCAUCCUUCCCCAAGAGUCAAUUCUCUACACAGCAAGGAGUCAAAGUGAUCUUUUUAUGAAGCAUAAAUCAGAAUUUAUCACUCUCCCGCUCAAAACACUCCAGCGGCCUUAAGUAGAAUAAAAUCCACACUUUUACCAUGAUCUCUGCCAGUCUCUCCAAGCUCAUUAUAUACCAGUUUGCCUGUCGUUUACUGUACUUCGACAACACUGCUUGCCUUUCAGUUUUUCUAACAGAUGAAUCUCAUUUCUACCU